rnacentral:rRNA from 1 species
AGAGUUUGAUCAUGGCUCAGAACGAACGCNGGCGGCAGGCCUAACACAUGCAAGUCGAGCGCCCGCAAGGGAGCGGCAGACGGGUGAGUAACGCGUGGGAACGUGCCCUUUGGUUCGGAAUAUUCCCGGGAAACUGGGAGCAAAACCGGAUAAGCCCUUCGGGGGAAAGUUUACGCCAAAGGAUCGGCCCGCGUUAGAUUAGGUAGUUGGUGGGGUAACGGCCUACCAAGCCUACGAUCUAUAGCUGAUCUGAGAGGAUGAUCAGCCACACUGGGACUGAGACACGGCCCAGACUCCUACGGGAGGCAGCAGUGGGGAAUCUUGGACAAUGGGCGCAAGCCUGAUCCAGCCAUGCCGCGUGGAUGACUGAAGGCCCUAGGGUUGUAAAGUCCUUUCGACGGGGACGAUAAUGACGGUACCCGUAGAAGAAGCCCCGGCUAACUUCGUGCCAGCAGCCGCGGUAAUACGAAGGGGGCUAGCGUUGUUCGGAUUUACUGGGCGUAAAGGGCGCGUAGGCGGAUUUUUAAGUCGGGGGUGAAAUCCCGGAGCUCAACUCCGGAACUGCCUUCGAUACUGGAAGUCUGGAGCACGGUAGAGGUGAGUGGAAUUCCGAGCGUAGAGGUGAAAUUCGUAGAUAUUCGGAGGAACACCAGUGGCGAAGGCGGCUCACUGGACCGUUGCUGACGCUGAGGCGCGAAAGCGUGGGGAGCAAACAGGAUUAGAUACCCCGGUAGU